GCGGCCGGCCAGCAUUUAACGGACACUGAUGCUGUGGAUAUAUCUACAUGGAUGUCUCUCCUGAGUUUUUGACAGCUGACAGCUUUACUCUCAGGUUCUCAAUCUGGCUUGAGGGGAAUCCCUACUGUCUAAACUCUACCUGGAAGCAAGGCAAGAGGCUCUCACAGAGGAUCUACCAGAUAUCGACUUCAGAGCAACCCUCAUCUUUUUGCCACACAUCUUCAAGGAGAACAUUGAGUGCUUUAUUACUCCUGGAAAG